CUCUUAAGAUUGAGCUGUGAUGGGGAGAGGAACUUGUUCCUCGAGUCGUUGAUUUCACACUGCCGAGAAAAGCCUCUAGCUAGAAUAACGGUGCCCGUACCGCAAACCGACACAGGUAGUCAAGAUGAGAAUUCUAAGGUGAGCGAGCGAACUCUCGUUAAGGAACUCGGCAAAAUGACCCCGUAACUUCGGGAGAAGGGGUGCUCUUUGAGGUUCACGCUUCGAAGAGCCGCAGUGAAUAGGCCCAAGCGACUGUUUAUCAAAAACACAGGUCUCUGCUAAACCGUAAGGUGACGUAUAGGGGCUGACGCCUGCCCGGUGCUGGAAGGUUAAGAGGAGUGGUUAGCGCAAGCGAAGCUACGAAUCGAAGCCCCAGUAAACGGCGGCCGUAACUAUAACGGUCCUAAGGUAGCGAAAUUCCUUGUCGGGUAAGUUCCGACCCGCACGAAAGGCGUAACGAUUUGGGCACUGUCUCAACGAGAGACUCGGUGAAAUCAUAGUACCGGUGAAGAUGCCGGUUACCCGCGACAGGACGGAAAGACCCCGUGGAGCUUUACUGUAGCCUGAUAUUGAAAUUCGGUACAGUUUGUACAGGAUAGGUAGGAGCCUUAGAAGCGUGAGCGCUAGCUUACGUGGAGGCAUUGGUGGGAUACUACCCUAAUUGUAUUGGAUUUCUAACCCGCAGCACUUAUCGUGCUGGGAGACAGUGUCAGGCGGGCAGUUUGACUGGGGCGGUCGCCUCCUAAAGAGUAACGGAGGCGCUCAAAGGUUCCCUCAGAAUGGUUGGAAAUCAUUCAUAGAGUGUAAAGGCAUAAGGGAGCUUGACUGCGAGACCUAC
rnacentral:rRNA from 1 species